UUGUCUCCACGGUUACGAAACUGAUUUAUCAUUCAACAACGACUUCCAAUCUUCUUCUUCUACAGCGGUUUCGCAAAAACCAUUUCUCUUUCAAAUGCUAUUCUCUCCCUUUUCCCAUUAUCAAUCGCAUCGCUUCAUAAACCCUAAUCCAUAAUUUGUUUCUGUUUCUGUUUCUCACUCGAAUCUUUUCUCUCCAUAUUCCAUUCAAUUGCAUAAGGUGAAAAACAAACCAUGGAGCACGGUUGCGACAUCAGAUUCACGAACAACAAUUUGCGGAUCCGUCAACAAGCUUCCAUUCGCACACUGAUUGCUGAUCGGUUUUGCUUGAAUGGGAAAAUAGAGGGAAACAAUGUUGGAAUUUUGAAGGUGAGAUUAAUUUAGAGUAACUGUGGAUAAUUCUUCCAGUAGAACAACCAAUUUGAUAAAGGUUGAUAGUACUAAUAAGCGUGGAAGUUUGUUGGAAGUUGUUCAAGUUCUUACUGAUAAGAAUCUCAUUGUUAGAAGAGCGUAUAUUUCAUCUGAUGGAGAAUGGUUUAUAGAUGUUUUUCAUGUUACCGAUCAAAAUGGGAAAAAGUGUCUUCAAGAAGAUGUUGCUGACAGAAUUCAACAGGUUAAAUCUUGAUGUUCUCUUAUUCCAGGUGCCAUUUACCAGCUCUUUAUAUUGGAAUGGAAUGCAUGCGGACUCACAGUUAUAAGCUUGCUGAACAGAGAUUUAUGGUGCCAUGGCUGUUGCGGGGAGUUUAAUAUGUUCGAUUACCGGAAUUGACUCUCUUGGAGGUUUUCGUCUUUCAAUAGAUGUUGUUCUUGAAGGACUUGGAUAUGCAGUUCCUCCAAUUAUGGCUCUUCUUUUUAUACUUGAUGCAAGUUCUUUUGACUAUGCAAAUGAUGAUAAGGUUGUGAUUUUGUAGGUGCUGGAUGAAUCAGAUAUUAAACCAUGUUGCAUGGCUGCUGAACUGAAAUAUUACGACUGUUGUACCGAAUGAUGCAGGGACUGAACCGAGUCAUACAGCUGCUGUACCGAUCAAAGCAACGCGUUUUCGACGAUGUGCGGUUUCAACAUGGUAGAUUUGUGGUGGCAGCAAUAAGUUUUUGACCGCGACUGUGGUACUGGUCAGGAGCUGCUGUAAUAUUUCAGUUGUCGUACCAUUGUGAGAGCCAUGCUGAACAUCUACUUCUCUUUGUUUUUUUACAUAAUUUAGCUUUGCAAAACAGUGGUUUUCAAAAUUACAAUGAUUAUUAUUGACAUAUAAGAACUUGAUAUUGGCAGGGCAUAUAGGAUCUUGGGCCUUAGCCUACUCUAACAUUGUAACAUGUGCUAAUUUUUUCAGUAACAUUUUUCUGUUCAAUUUAUGAAAUGUAAGCGGAAAAAAACUUAUGAACAUGUUAUUAAGUUAUUUUUAAUAUCUGUCCAUACACUAAUGUAACCGUCUGUGUCAUAAAUAAAGUUACUGAUUAUGUAUUUUGAUUAGUUUUCUCCAGGUCAUAUACUGCCCAAGUGUCUCCAGCACCUCUACCCUGGUCGGUAGGAGCGAGCAAAGGACAUCUUUCAACUUGAGUUACAUUGUAAGAAUGGGCAGAACAUCUCAUGAUGCUGUUUCACAUGACCAUUGUAAUUCUAUAGGAGUUACAUUAUUAUCUGGAAAUUCAGAGUGCAGCUUGAGUCUCCCUUUUCUCCUUUGUCAUUGGAUGAUGAUGUUUAUAUAUUUGUUUAUUUUUCUUUGUCGCAUUUACAAAUUUUGUUGCUUCAGGACUCUCGGGAACAAAAUUGCUACAUCUGAAUACAUUUCUUGGCUAAUAGAGAUAUGGUUUGAAAUCCUUUUCUGAUGAUUUUAACAGAAUUUAAGCCACAAUUUCUUCUAUUGGCCAAUUGGCAAUGUUUUUACUGGCUUAGAUAAUCUCAAGGAAAUGUUGCACCGGUGAGGUCCACUAGGAAGAAAAUGACGAAAUAGCUGACGGGAAAGCAUGACGAUACGCCUUUAUAUUCUGCGGCGAGAACAGGAGAUAUGGCCUCUUUGAAGGGGACGGUGGAUGGUGCUGAAGAGGGUAAGCUGCAUGAAGUGUUUGUGAAGCAGAAUCAAGGUGGAGAAACGGAUCUUUAUGUUGCUGCUGAGUAUGGUUAUGUUGAUAUGGUUAGGGAGAUGAUUCAGUAUUAUGAUCUUGCUGAUGCUGGAAUUAAAGGAGAAAUGGUUAUGAUGCGCUUUAUUUUUACCAUUUCGAGAUUGUCUUCCUCUGCGCGCAAAUAUGCUACUCUCAGUGAUAUAAUCAGUUUGUACUAUGUCGUCAAGAAUCGUUUAACUUCUGGCUAUAUGGUUUCAAAAUAAGAGAGCUAGAUGGAAAUCAAAGCAACUUGAAAGAGAGUACAAUAAAAUUCAAAAUAGUUACAGUAGUUUUGGCAUCAAGAUUUGAAUCAAUGAAGAAGGAAAAACAAACAUUACUUAUACAGAUCAGAAAGCAGAGGAACAAUCAAAUGUGAGGCUGAGGAGAAACCAAGAAAUUCAAUGGAAAGAUCAUAACAUGUUCUUGAUGUUGCAUCAGAUUAUGACAAGCAUAAAAGUUGAGUAUUUUGUUUUCUGUACAGCAUAAUUCCAUUGUAAUUUCAUGGUAGAACACUUAAUCUUAUGAAAUACUACCAUGUAGAUAUAUCAUAACUUUGAUUGCAACUUCAUAACAGUAAGUUCAUUGUAACUUCCAUGUAGUAUUUUCCUUUAAAAAUGCAAUUUCAUAACAAUGACAUUGGCAGAAAGUGAGGCACAGUGAUGAAAUUAUUUUGAGAGAGGGAAGGAAAAGGAAAUAUAUUUAAAGUUGUGGUGGUUUGUCUUUUCUAAUCUCCAUUAACACUCUUGAAAAAAGUGAAUAUUACGUCCAGAUCAAAAUAUCCAAUCUAUCAUUUUAUGUAACUUGAUAUUCUGUGGCUUAAUAAUGCUUAGGCUGUUGGAAUUGAGGACCAGAGAGCUUUUAUAUGUCCUGCUAGGAAAUCUGUUGUAGACUUUUUGCAAGAAGUAGCUUUAUAACAUUUCUACAGUCUACGUGAGUAUGACAUAGGAAUAAGAUUUGACUAUUAAGCAUUGGUUGUAUUGAAAAUGUUACAGGUGAAGAUCAAAAUUGUGAUAUGAUCAAUUUUG